rnacentral:rRNA from 1 species
GGUUACCUCAGGUCAGAGAAGACUACCCGCUGGACUUAAGCAUAUCACUAAGCGGAGGAAAAGAAACUAACUAGGAUUCCCCCAGUAACUGCGAGUGAAGAGGGAAGAGCUCAUCAUUGGAAUCUGGCGGUGUUGCACCGUCCGAGUUGUAGAUGAGGAGUGGUUCRUCUGGACUGCAUGGCGUCCAAGUACAAUAGGCCGUCAGUGGGACAUCAUARAGGGUGACAAUCCCGUCCUUGAUGCCRAUGUGCAAGUCCAUUACGAUGGCCAUCUCAGAGAGUCGAGCAGUUUGGGAUUUGCUGCUUAAACAUGGGAGGUAGAUUCCUUCUAAAGCUAAAUACAGGCAAGAGACCGAUAGAGAACAAGUACCGCAAGGGAAAGAUGAAAUAGCACUCUGUGAAGGGAGUCAAAAGGCGUGAAAUUGUUGCGAGAGAAGCGAUUCAAGUCAGCGUAGCUAGGCCCAUUAAGCCUCUUUGCGCUUUGGACUAGCUUUGCCAGCGGUCUUGUCCUUAGAGACUUGACUUGUAUGUCCAGCCUGGUAUGCACAGGUAGCCCUCCGGGGUCAGUGACAUGGCUGGUGGAAUGGCUYGCAAUCGACCYGUCUUGAAACACGGACCAAGGAGUCUAACAUGUAUGCGAGUAUAAGGGUGGCAAACCCGUAUGCGCAAUGAAAGURAUUUUCGGUGAUUGAGAAUGGCCUGAUGACCAGACAAGCAAUAUAUGUCCCUCGUACGGCCAUUGCCCAAGUUCCGUGGUAGAUCCCACGAACAUGGAGUUGGAGCAUACAUGCUAGGACCCGAAAGAUGGUGAACUAUGCCUGGACAAAGCGAAGCCAAAGGAAACUCUGGUGGAGGCUUGUAGCGAUUCUGACGUGCAAAAUCGAUCGUCUGAU